rnacentral:rRNA from 1 species
GAUGAACGCUGGCGGCGUGCCUAAUACAUGCAAGUCGAGCGAACAGAUGAGGAGCUUGCUCCUCUGACGUUAGCGGCGGACGGGUGAGUAACACGUGGAUAACCUACCUAUCAGACUGGGAUAACUUCGGGAAACCGGAGCUAAUACCGGAUAAUAUAUUGAACCGCAUGGUUCAAUAGUGAAAGACGGUUUUGCUGUCACUUAUAGAUGGAUCCGCGCCGCAUUAGCUAGUUGGUAAGGUAACGGCUUACCAAGGCAACGAUGCGUAGCCGACCUGAGAGGGUGAUCGGCCACACUGGAACUGAGACACGGUCCAGACUCCUACGGGAGGCAGCAGUAGGGAAUCUUCCGCAAUGGGCGAAAGCCUGACGGAGCAACGCCGCGUGAGUGAUGAAGGUCUUCGGAUCGUAAAACUCUGUUAUUAGGGAAGAACAAAUGUGUAAGUAACUAUGCACGUCUUGACGGUACCUAAUCAGAAAGCCACGGCUAACUACGUG